rnacentral:rRNA from 1 species
UACGUAGGUGGCGAGCGUUGUCCGGAUUUAUUGGGCGUAAAGGGAGCGCAGGCGGUGACUUAAGUCUGAUGUGAAAGCCCACGGCUCAACCGUGGAAGGUCAUUGGAAACUGGGUCACUUGAAUAUAGAAGAGGAAAGUGGAAUUCCAUGUGUAGCGGUGAAAUGCGUAGAUAUAUGGAGGAACACCAGUGGCGAAGGCGACUUUCUGGUCUAUUAUUGACGCUGAGGCUCGAAAGCAUGGGUAGCAAACAGGAUUAGAUACCCCU